CAGCAAGGUAAUGAACAACUAUUAAUUCUAUAUUAGUAUUUUUAGGAAACAGAAAAAAAGAAUAAAGCAUUGGUUCAUGGGUUAAUGUGUAUUGAAACAAAAUGCAUUGUUCUGAGCUUACAAGCACAUACUAAGGAAAUGAACACUUCGGGCAUUUAUAUUUUAUUUCUGAUUCGUUGCAUAUUGAACAAGUUGUCAUGAUAGCGUUUAAAUUUUUCUAAUGUAUUAGAGGAGAAACCUUUUUUUUUAGACAAGCUCAAACAAAAUAAGAUUAAAGGGAGAAGAGCAAUAGAGUAACGUCAAACCUUGCUAGUUCAAAA